UUCCAAAGGUCUGAGGUUUUCUGCAAUCCCUUUCAGACUCACUGUCCUCAAUGACCACAAAAAUCGACAAAGAAUGAGUAAGAUCCUUCUCUUCGGCUUUUCUGCUCUGCUUUUCUCCACCAUUGCCCAAGGGAUUCUGUGCGAUUUUUGUGUAGCAAUAGAAUCUUCACGCUGUCUCCAUCUGGGACUCACAUGUACAGCAACAUCUGGGAGCUGUUUCACCAGAGCAGUCUAUGAUGCAGCAAAUGGACACUUCAUUCGACUGGACUAUGGAUGUGUCAACCAUCUGAGCAGUUCACAAGAAUGUAACGCCACUAGAAAGACCGCAGGGGAGGUACACGUUA